rnacentral:rRNA from 1 species
CGAACGGUAACAUUUCUAGCUUGCUAGAAGAUGACGAGUGGCGGACGGGUGAGUAAUGCUUGGGAACUUGCCUUUGCGAGGGGGAUAACAGUUGGAAACGACUGCUAAUACCGCAUAAUGUCUUCGGACCAAACGGGGCUUCGGCUCCGGCGCAAAGAGAGGCCCAAGUGAGAUUAGCUAGUUGGUAAGGUAACGGCUUACCAAGGCGACGAUCUCUAGCUGUUCUGAGAGGAAGAUCAGCCACACUGGGACUGAGACACGGCCCAGACUCCUACGGGAGGCAGCAGUGGGGAAUAUUGCACAAUGGGGGAAACCCUGAUGCAGCCAUGCCGCGUGUGUGAAGAAGGCCUUCGGGUUGUAAAGCACUUUCAGUUGUGAGGAAAAGUUAGUAGUUAAUACCUGCUAGCCGUGACGUUAACAACAGAAGAAGCACCGGCUAACUCCGUGCCAGCAGCCGCGGUAAUACGGAGGGUGCGAGCGUUAAUCGGAAUUACUGGGCGUAAAGCGCACGCAGGCGGUUUGUUAAGCUAGAUGUGAAAGCCCCGGGCUCAACCUGGGAUGGUCAUUUAGAACUGGCAGACUAGAGUCUUGGAGAGGGGAGUGGAAUUCCAGGUGUAGCGGUGAAAUGCGUAGAUAUCUGGAGGAACAUCAGUGGCGAAGGCGACUCCCUGGCCAAAGACUGACGCUCAUGUGCGAAAGUGUGGGUAGCGAACAGGAUUAGAUACCCUGGUAGUCCACACCGUAAACGCUGUCUACUAGCUGUGUGUGUCCUUAAGACGUGCGUAGCGAAGCUAACGCGCUAAGUAGACCGCCUGGGGAGUACGGCCGCAAGGUUAAAACUCAAAUGAAUUGACGGGGGCCCGCACAAGCGGUGCAGCAUGUGGUUUACUUCGAUGCACGCGAAGAACCUUACCUACACUUGACAUGCUGAGAAGUUACUAGAGAUAGUUUCGUGCCUUCGGGAACUCAGACACAGGUGCUGCAUGACUGUCGUCAGCUCGUGUCGUGAGAUGUUGGGUAGUCCCGCACGAGCGCAACCCUUGUCCUUAGUGCCAGCCUUAAGUUGGCACUCUAAGGAGACUGGCGGUGACAAACCGAAGAAGUUGGACGAACGUCAAGUCAUCAGGUCCUACCCGUGAGGGUAUCACACUGCUUCAUAUGGCGUUUCUAAAGGAACCGGAACGGAAGUGUGGUAGGGAACCUCUCAAAAUGAUGCGAGAUCGCGCCAUGGAGAGGUUGUCAAUCUCUACUACU